rnacentral:pre_miRNA from 1 species
ACGGUCCUCGCUAGCAGCCGAUGAGGUCGUUGUCGCUAGAUUUGGCGACGGUGGCCUCGCCAGCCGCUAGCGAGGACCGU